rnacentral:rRNA from 1 species
UUCCAGACUCCUACGGGAGGCAGCAGUGAGGAAUAUUGGUCAAUGGUCGGGAGACUGAACCAGCCAAGCCGCGUGAGGGAUGAAGGUACAGAGUAUCGUAAACCUCUUUUGUCAGGGAACAAAGGCGGGGACGUGUCCCCGGAUGAGUGUACCUGAAGAAAAAGCAUCGGCUAACUCCGUGCCAGCAGCCGCGGUAAUACGGAGGAUGCGAGCGUUAUCCGGAUUUAUUGGGUUUAAAGGGGGCGCAGGCGGGUUUAGAAGUGCGGGGGAAAAAGGCGGGGCCCCACCCCCGCCCCGCCGUUGAAACUGGCAGUCUCGAGUUGGAGAGAAGUAUGCGGAAUGCGCGGUGUAGCGGAGAAAUGCAUAGAUAUCGCGCAGAACUCCGAUUGCGAAGGCAGCAUGCCGGCUCCACACUGACGCUGAGGCACGAAAGCGUGGGUAUCGAACAGGAUUAGAUACCCUAGUAUC